rnacentral:rRNA from 1 species
GUCUAUGGCCAUACCACCCUGAACAUCUGACUUCAGAAGUUAAGCAGUGUCGGGCCUGGUUCAUACUUGGAUGGGGACAAGGAGAGGGCAUAUGCCUGUUUAAAACA